rnacentral:rRNA from 1 species
UACGGUAGGGUGCGAGCGUUAAUCGGAAUUACUGGGCGUAAAGCGUGCGUAGACGGUUAUUUAAGUCGGGUGUGAAAGCCCCGGGCUCAACCUGGGAAUUGCAUUCGAGACUGAAUAGCUAGGGUACGGUAGAGGGAAGUGGAAUUUCCGGUGUAGCGGUGAAAUGCGUAGAUAUCGGAAGGAACAUCGAGUGGCGAAAGCGACUUCCUGGACCAGUACCGACGUUCAGGCACGAAAGCGUGGGGAGCAAACAGG